AUUGAACGCUGGCGGCAGGCCUAACACAUGCAAGUCGAGCGAGCGGCGGACGGGUGCGUAAUGUCUGGGAAACUGCCUGAUGGAGGGGGAUAACUACUGGAAACGGUAGCUAAUACCGCAUACCAUCAGAUGUGCCCAGUUGGGGUUAGCUAGGCGGUGGGGUAACGGCUCACCUAGGCGACGAACCCUAGCUGGACUGAGAGGAUGACCAGGCAACCUGGAGAUUGGAAACGGUCCAAGCCCCUACGGGAGGCAGCAGUUGGGAAUAUUGCACAAAGGGCGCAAGCCUUAUGCAGCCAUGGCGCCUGUGUGAAGAAGGCCUUAUGGUUGUAAAGCACUUUAAGCGAGGAGACGUUACUCGCAGAAUAAGCACCGGCUAACUCUGUGCCAGCAGCCGCGGUAAUAC
rnacentral:rRNA from 1 species